GCGCGGUUGGAGUAGAGGUUUAACUCGCUGUCUUCCCACACAUCCUGGACCGACAGAAACUCGGGUUCGAAUCCCGGACCGCGCA